CGGAGAGCAAGCGAGGGCUCUGAGGACUGCCAGCACGCUGUCACCUCUCAAGAAGAAUCCAGGUGGAAGCGGAACUCCAGCAUUUGUUCCUGGGGGUGCACUAGGAUGUGUUGGAUUUGGAUGUUGUCGGCAGCUGUGUGUUGUGUGAAGAGCAGGGCUCUAGAGUCAGCUAGACUUGGUUUCAGUCCUAGGCCAGCCACUUGUUGCCAUUUCAUCGCAGUCACGUACCUCUUCC
rnacentral:lncRNA from 10 species